GAUAAACGCUGGCGGCGUGCAUAACACAUGCAAGUCGAACGAUGAAACUUAGAUGAUUUCUUCGGAAUGAACUUAAGCGGAUUAGUGGCGAACGGGUGAGUAACACGUGAGUAGCCUGCCUUACACAAGGGGAUAGCCUUUGGAAACGAAGAAUAAUACCCUAUAAAGUCAAUUUAUCGCAUGAUAGAAUGACCAAAGAUUUAUCGGUGUAAGAUGGACUUGCGUCUGAUUAGCUAGUUGGUGAGAUAAAGGCCCACCAAGGCAACGAUCAGUAGCCGGCUUGAGAGAGCGUACGGCCACAUUGGGACUGAGACACGGCCCAAACUCCUACGGGAGGCAGCAGUGGGGAAUUUUGCACAAUGGGGGAAACCCUGAUGCAGCGACGCCGCGUGAUUUAGAAGGCCUUCGGGUUGUAAAAAUCUUUUUUAUGGGAUGAAAAUGACAGUACCAUAAGAAUAAGGUCCGGCUAAAUACGUGCCAGCAGCCGCGGUAAUACGUAUGGACCGAGCGUUGUCCGGAAUCAUUGGGCGUAAAGGGUACGUAGGCGGCCCAGUAAGUUAGAAGUGAAAUAAUAUAGCUCAACUAUAUUAAGCUUUGAAAACUGCUAAGCUUGAGAGAUGGAAGGGAAAGUGGAAUUCCUAGUGUAUCGGUUAAAUGCGCAGAUGUUAGGAAGAAUACCGGGGUGGAAUGCGACUUUCUGUUCUUGUGCUGACGCUGAGUUACAAAUCGGUGGUAGCAGACAUGUAUAGUACCCUGGUAGUCCGUGGGUGGAUCCACUGUGGAUUUAUGUUGUUGCGAAUGCGCUACUCUCUGUGUGGUGGUGUAAAAAAAUAUUGUUCCUUGAUUGUGGUGUGAUGAUGUGGCUGUGCUUGUGGCUGUGCUGUGAGUUGUGUUGUUGUGUGUGUUGUUUGUGUAUGAGAUGUGUGUGUAGAAUGGAUGUUUUGUGUGGUGUGUGUGGUUGGU
rnacentral:rRNA from 1 species